rnacentral:rRNA from 1 species
GCACCGGCUAACUACGUGCCAGCAGCCGCGGUAAUACGUAGGGUGCAAGCGUUGUCCGGAAUUAUUGGGCGUAAAGAGCUCGUAGGCGGUUUGUCGCGUCUGCUGUGAAAACUGGAGGCUCAACCUCCAGCCUGCAGUGGGUACGGGCAGACUAGAGUGCGGUAGGGGAGAUUGGAAUUCCUGGUGUAGCGGUGGAAUGCGCAGAUAUCAGGAGGAACACCGAUGGCGAGCAGAUCUCUGGGCCGUAACUGACGCUGAGGAGCGAAAGCAUGGGGAGCGAACAGGAUUAGAUACCCUGGUAGUCCAUGCCGUAAACGUUGGGAACUAGAUGUAGGGGCCAUUCCACGGUUUCUGUGUCGCAGCUAACGCAUAAGUCCCGCCUGGGGAGUACGGCCGCAAGGCUAAAACUCAAAGGAAUUGACGGGGGCCCGCACAAGCGGCGGAGCAUGCGGAUUAAUCGAUGCACGCGAGACUUACCAAGGCUUGACAUAUACCGGAAAGCCACAGAAAUGUGGGCCCCGCAAGGUCGGUAUACAGGUGGUGCAUGGUUGUCGUCAGCUCGUGUCGUGAGAUGUUGGGUUAAGUCCCGCAACGAGCGCAACCCUCGUUCUAUGUUGCCAGCACGUUAUGGUGGGAACUCAUAGGAGACUGCCGGGGUCAACUCGGAGGAGGUGGGGAUGACGUCAAAUCAUCAUGCCCCUUAUGUCUUGGGCUUCACGCAUGCUACAAUGGCCGGUACAAAGGGCUGCAAUACCGUAAGGUGGAGCGAAUCCCAAAAAGCCGGUCUCAGUUCGGAUUGAGGUCUGCAACUCGACCUCAUGAAGUCGGAGUCGCUAGUAAUCGCAGAUCAGCAACGCUGCGGUGAAUACGUUCCCGGGCCUUGUACACACCGCCCGUCAAGUCAUGAAAGUCGGUAACACCCGAAGCCGGUGGCCCAACCCCUUGUGGGAGGGAGCUGUCGAAGGUGGGAUCGGUGAUUAGGACUAAGUCGUAA